UACGACUACAUAUCAGGCAUAUCAAUAAGCGGAGGAAAAGGAACUAACUAGGAUUCCCUCAGUAACGGCGAGUGAAGCGGGAAGAGCUCGAAUUUGAAAUCUUCAAGGUUUUACCUUGACGAAUUGUAGUUUAAAGAAGUGUUUUCUGUUGGUGUUUUGGUAAAAGUUCUUUGGAGUAGGACAUCAUAGAGGGUGAGAAUCCCGUAUUUGACCAUUUCUUCCAGCUGUGUGAUACACUUUCAAAGAGUCGGAUUGUUUGGGAAUGCAGUCCAAAAUGGGUGGUAAAUUUCAUCUAAAGCUAAAUAUUGGCGAGAGACCGAUAGCGAACAAGUACCGUGAGGGAAAGAUGAAAAGAACUUUGAAAAGAGAGUUAAACAGUACGUGAAAUUGUCAAAAGGGAAGCGUUUGACACCAGUGUUGUUUUCUCGAAAAUCAAUUAAAAAGUAUGGGAUUUUGUAUUGUUAAGACCUUAUCAGCUUACGGUACUUUUUUCUUAUUCUUUUUAAUGCACUUUUCGUUUAACAAGUCAACAUCAAUUUCUUUUGUUGUAAAAGAGUCAUUGGAGGGUGGCUUUCACUUCGGUGAAAGUGUUUAUAGCCUUUGGCUUCUGCAAUCGGAGAGAUUGAGGUCUGCAGCGUAGAUCCUUCGGGGUUAGAUACGUAGAUGCUAAGUUAUAGUUUUUCAUAGACAACUUGUUGACUAUGAUUAAUCAUGUAGCUUACUCGUUUGCGCUAUUUUACCUACGCUUAGGAUGUUGAAUCUGUGCGAGACUAC
rnacentral:rRNA from 1 species